CAGUCGCCGCCGUAAUACGAAGGGUGCAAGCGUUACUCGGAAUUACUGGGCGUAAAGCGUGCGUAGGUGGUGGUUUAAGUCCGAUGUGAAAUCCCCGGGCUCAACCUGGGAACUGCAUUUGUGACUGGCAAGCUAGAGUGUGGCAGAGGGGGGUGGAAUUCCGCGUGUAGCAGUGAAAUGCGUAGAUAUGCGGAGGAACACCGAUGGCGAAGGCAGCCCCCUGGGCCAAUACUGACGCUCAUGCACGAAAGCGUGGGGAGCAAACAGGAUUAGAUACCCGGGUAGUCCCUGUCUCUUAUAA
rnacentral:rRNA from 1 species